CUUUGUUUCUGUACAGGGCACCUAAUUUUGGAUAAAGUUUAGAUGCAAGCUUUUCUAUGUGCAGGCCAAAAGAUAGAUUGGGGUCUAAUAUCAUACCCAAGUAUUUGAAAGAGUGGACUGCGGUCAGUGUGCCAUUUGAAUUUGUUUUGAUGGAUAGGUGGGGAUUGUGUAAUUUGUGCAAUUUAGGUACCGUUCCAAAGAUCAUUGUGACAGUUUUGUCAGUGUUCAGGAAGAGUUUGUUUUUUGCGAUCCACUUUUCUACCUCUGUAAACUGGUCUUGGAGCAAAGCCUCAAGUUGCGGUAGAUUGGGUUUGCUCGCAUAGAUUACCGUGUCAUCUGCGUACAUGUGUACAUUUGAGGAUUGGCAGACAUAAGGCAGAUCAUUUAUAAAUAAUGUAAAUAGUAG